GACGAACGCUGGCGGCGUGCUUAACACAUGCAAGUCGAACGGGCCCGCUCUCUUUUUUGGGGGUGGGUUGAGUGGCGAACGGGUGAGUAUCACGUGAGUAACCUGCCCCCUGCUCCUGGAUAACUGCUUGAAAGGGCGGCUAAUACGGGGUGUGCCGGCUGGUCCGCAUGGGCCUGGUCGGGAUAGUUUCAUCUUCGGGUGUUUCGGUGGGGGAUGGGCUCGGGGCCUAUCAGCUUGUUGGUGGGGUGUUGGCCCACCAAGGCGGUGACGGGUGGCCGGACUGAGAGGGUGGGCGGCCACACUGGGACUGAGACACGGCCCAGACUCCUGCGGGAGGCAGCAGUGGGGGGUAUUGCACAAUGGGCGGAAGCCUGAUGCAGCGACGUCGCGUGAGGGAUGGAGGCCUUCGGGUUGUGAACCUCUUUCUCCGGGGGUGAAGGCCCUGUCCGUUGCGGCGGGGUUGACGGUAGCCGGGUAUGAAGCGCCGGCUAACUACGUG
rnacentral:rRNA from 1 species